UACAGAGGUCUCAAGCGUUGUUCGGAUUCAUUGGGCGUAAAGGGUGCGUAGGUGGCGCGUUAAGUCAGGUGUGAAAUUCGGAGCUUAACUCCGAAACUGCAUUUGAUACUGGCGUGCUUGAGGACUGGAGAGGAGACUGGAAUUCAUGGUGUAGCAGUGAAAUGCGUAGAGAUCAUGAGGAAGACCAGUGGCGAAGGCGGGUCUCUGGACAGUUCCUGACACUGAGGCACGGAAGGCCAGGGGAGCAAACGGG
rnacentral:rRNA from 1 species